rnacentral:rRNA from 1 species
UGCGCAGGCGGUUUAUUAAGACAGAUGUGAAAUCCCCGGGCUUAACCUGGGAACUGCAUUUGUGACUGGUAGGCUAGAGUGUAGCAGAGGGGGGUAGAAUUCCACGUGUAGCAGUGAAAUGCGUAGAGAUGUGGAGGAAUACCAAUGGCGAAGGCAGCCCCCUGGGUUAACACUGACGCUCAUGCACGAAAGCGUGGGGAGCAAACAGGAUUAGAUACCCUGGUAGUCCACGCCCUAAACGAUGUCAACUAGGUGUUGGGGGAGGAGACUUCCUUAGUACCGCAGCUAACGCGUGAAGUUGACCGCCUGGGGAGUACGGCCGCAAGGUUGAA